UACGUAGGGGGCAAGCGUUGUCCGGAUUUAUUGGGCGUAAAGAGCGUGUAGGCGGCCAUACAGGUCAGCUGUGAAAACUCGAGGCUCAACCUCGAGACGUCGGUUGAAACCGUAUGGCUAGAGUCCGGAAGAGGAGAGUGGAAUUCCCGGUGUAGCGGUGAAAUGCGCAGAUAUCGGGAAGAACACCCGUGGCGAAGGCGGCUCUCUGGGACGGUACUGACGCUGAGACGCGAAAAGCGUGGGGGAGCGAAUAGG
rnacentral:rRNA from 1 species